GUCUGGAUGGCUUAGUGGUCAGAGCAUCUGCCUAGUAAGAAGGAGAUCUGGGUUCAAAUCCUGGUCCAGCACA